rnacentral:rRNA from 1 species
UACGUAGGGUGCGAGCGUUGUCCGGAAUUAUUGGGCGUAAAGAGCUCGUAGGCGGCUUGUUGCGUCGGAUGUGAAAGCCCCGGGGCUUAACUCCGGGUCUGCAUUCGAUACGGGCAGGCUAGAGUUCGGUAGGGGAGAUCGGAAUUCCUGGUGUAGCGGUGAAAUGCGCAGAUAUCAGGAGGAACACCGAUGGCGAAGGCAGCUCGCUGGGACGGUACUGACGCUGAGGCGCGAAAGCGUGGGGAGCGAACAGG